CAUGAUGGACUAUCAGACAGGACUGCUGCUGUUAACUAUCUGCUGGGCAGGUGUUGAUGGUCAGACUCUGACAGAAUCUGAACCAGUGAUUAAAAGGACUGGAGAAUCUCACAAACUGACCUGUACAGUCUCUGGAUUUGACUUUGGCAGCUACUGGAUGAGUUGGGCCAGACAUGUUUCUGGGAAAGGACUAGAGUGGAUUGCUAUGAUCAAAUAUGACAGUGGUGAGAUCUACUACUCUCAGUCAGUUCAAGGUCAGUUCACCAUCUCCAGAGACAACAGCAGACAGCAGCUGUAUCUGCAGAUGAACAGUCUGAAGACUGAAGAUUCUGCUGUUUAUUAUUGUGCGCGAGGCGCACACAGUUUCACUUCCUGA